AACAUUGGACACAACAAAAACACUAUCAGAUUGUGAUAUUUUUAAUAUGAACGAGGAUUCAGAGACAAAUAUGGAAGGAGUUUUGCUGUCACCACAACCUCGUUUAGACUACAGUUUCGGUUGGGAUGAUUUGGAAAACAAUGAUGCUGAGAUGGUGCUUUGGAGCUAUUCUAUUUGAUGUCAUAGUAGUUUUGGAUAGUAAAGUGCGUAAAACACAAAAAAUAAAGAAGCAAGAUAUAGUAUAUGUGUGUAUUCCAGUUUGAUUGAAUAGAGACUAGGUGAGUCAAAUUGAUCUGGUAUUUGGUUUUGAAGUCCAAUAACCCAGACAGCUUACUAUAAGAAAAAAAGUAAGAGGAAAAAAUAUCAAGCAGGUAUGAGUGCAAGAACUUUGGAUAGAAUGCUUUGACUGUAUUGAUUUUCUUGUAUUUUCCUUUGUACAGUUACAAUAUAUAUGAAGAAUGGAAAAGAAUAUUGACUAAAAAUCACAUUUGAUAACCACCCAUAAUCUAAGGACAUGUUAAAAAAAAAAAAAAAAAAAAACGUUCUGUGAUGGGUAAAGCAUUUAUAAAAGGCAUUGAAAUUCAUUCGGAAGAUCCCUAAGAUCAUUUUCAUGUUCAGUUUGUAUACACUAUCUAAGCAGUGAGAAAAAGAGUUUAGAAGAGCCUUAACCCGCAGCUAAACACUACAUACAAGCUUGAAAGAGUGUGUCAAGAACGGUAAUGGCGGGAGGUUCGUUUUCGAUCCAAUUUACUCUGCAUUGAUCUAAAUGUUAUUUUGUUUAUUGAAGCAUGUUUAGAUCGCUUAAGGUGACUUACAUUUGGUAUCAGAGCCUUCGUUUUGUCUUUGCCUUGUUUGUUCUCAACCUGCACACAUUCUGUUGAAAAUUUUGGUUUUUGAGUCAGUCAUUUUUAUAGAAAUUGAGAUUAGGAAUCAUUGGAAAAUCGAUUUCUGAGAAUUUUGAUAUAAAAUAUGCAAAAUUUGGUGGUCGAAAUCAUGAGAUAUGAUCGGGUUUUUCAUUCGGGUCGAAAUGGGUCAAAACAACCCGGAAGACAACCUCUAAUAAAAAAAAACAUAUAAAAAAUAGUAAACAAUCAUUUCAAACUUGUUCCCGGACGACAUGUCAAAUUAUGUUGACAUGCAGUGGGCCUUCCUUGUCUAUUACUAAUUAAGGUACAAAAAUUGUUUUUGUUUUAACCAUUAGUUUUUAGCAUGCGGGCCACUUGCAUGAAAUAAAGGCUGCCAUUUAUAAUAUAGAAAUGGAAUGUUUAAUAUUAUUAAUUCGGAUUACUUUAAUAAAAUUUUGGACUUGCACAGCUAUUCCGUUUGAUGUCAUAGUAGUUUUAGAUAGUAAAGUGCGUAAAACACAAAAAUAAAGAAGCAAGAUAUAGUAUAUGUGUGUAUUCCAGUUUGAUUGAAUAGAGAGUAGGUGAGUCAAGUUGAUCUGGUAUUUGCUUUUGAAGUCCAAUCACCCAGACAGCUUACUAUAAGACAAAAAGUAAGAGGAAAAAAUAUCAAGCUGGUAACAGUGCAAGAACUUUGGAUAGAAUGCUUUGACUGUAUUGAUUUUCUUGUAUUUUCCUUUGUACAGUUACAAUAUAUAUGAAGAAUGGAAAAGAAUAUUGGCUUAAAAACCGACUUAAGAGUGAUCCACAUAUCUCACAUCCCACUACUUCAGCAACUGACCCAGUGUUUAAAAAUCACGUUUGAUAACGACCCAUAUUUUAACGACGUGCAAAAAUAAAAAAUAAAAAGGGCUCCAUGAUGGGCAGAGAAUUUAUAAAAGGCAUUCAAAUUCAUCGGAAGAUCCCUAAUAUCAUUUUCAUGUUUAGUUUGUAUACACUAUCUAAACAGUGAGAAAGAGAGCUUAGAAGAACCUUAACACGCAGCUAAACACUAUCUACAAACUUGAGUGAGUGCAUCAAGAAUGACAAUGACGAGAGGUUCGUUUUCGAUCCAUUUUACUCUGCAUUGAUCUAAAUGUUAUUUUAUUUAUUAAAGCAUGUUUAGAUCGCUUAAGGUGACUUACAUUUGGUAUCAAAGCCUUCGUUUUGCCUUUGCCUUGUUUGUUCUUAGCCUGCACAUUCUGUUGAAAAUUUUGGUUUUUGAUUUAGUCUUUUAUAUAGAAACUGAGAUUAGGAAUCACUAGGAAAUUGAUUUCUGAGAAUUUUGAUAUAAAAUAUGCGAAAUUUGAUGGUCGGAAUCAGGAGAUAUGACCGAAUUUUUCAUUCUGGUUGAAACCAGGCUGAAACGGGUCACAUCGACCUGUUGGAGGUUAAGACAACCUCUAAUAAAAAAAGAUAAAACAUAGUAAACAAUCUUUUCAAACCUGUUUGGAAGAUACGGCAAAUUAUGUUGAUGUGCAGUGGGCCUUCCUGUCUCUUACUAAUUAAGGUACAAAAAUGGUUUUUGUUUUAACCAUUCAGUUCUGCUUCUUAGCCAGGCUCAGAAAUAGGGUAAAAAACAGGGGGUUGAGGUGGCAUCACCUCAGCCCCCAGAUCCCAUACAUUUUUUUUUCCAGAUCCGACGGUCGAGGUCGAAACACCUCGGCACCCUUUUUUUGGCCUGGACAAGAGGCAAUUUCGUUAACCAUUAGUUUCUGGCACGCGGUCCCACUUGCAUGAAAUAAAGGCUGCCAUUGAUAAUAUGAAAAUAGAAUGUUUAAUAUUAUUAUUUUGGAUUAUUUUAAUAAAAUUUUGGACUUGCACAAGUACCAGCCGAAAAUUUUGAAAUUGUAUCUCAAAGACCCAUGUGCUGGAAAUUAAUGAGAAUUAUUUGGUGAUUUUGUUUUCAUAUGUACUAAACUUAUUUUGCCCCCGUUUGGCCCUCAUUCUCAUUUUCAUUAUUUUUCUCUCUUAUUUUCAACCACACAAUCUUUCAUAAAAUAAUAUUAAAUGCAAAUAAAAAACUUUUCAUUUUUUUUCAACCAUACAUUUUUCAAAAAAAUACUUUUUCAACCAUUAAAAUUUGGUAAGAAUGGGGACCAAACGGGUGUUUUAUUGUUUUUUAUGUAUAAUUUUUAUUGUUUUGUUUAACAUGCAAUAUUGAGUUAAAUAAUUUAGUGCAUUAAAAUUUAAUUUUUGUGUUCAUAUUGCCUAUGGUUUUGUGCAAUUUAUAUGAGCAUAUUUUUGUGAAUUAAAUUAAAAGUUGAGUGAUCCAUAUAAUUUAAUUAAUUGGGGAGUAGUCACAACAUUCUUAAUUAUACAAAAUUAUUUAUUAAAUGUAUAGGAUCACAUAUUGAAUAAAGACAUUAAUUGUGGUUAAUCAUAUUUAAUAUAAUGAAUAUUAUCCCACAAGAAUUUUAUUAUAUAUCUAUGAUUAAUUAAGAUAAAAUAUCAAACUAUAUUUUCUAAUUUGCCCCCAAUGAUUAGAAAAGGGAACGUAAUUUGAUAGUUUUAUUGUGAAGUUAAAAUGAAUCUAAUUGAAUCAGAACUUUAGCCCACAUGCAAGUCUUAUGUCACUAGAUUCAUAUUUUGCAUGAUCUUAUAUCGGUAAAACAUGUCAUAUGUUAUGAUAGCUUCAAAUUUUGUAAAAUGAGCAUGAAUGUUUGAUUUAUUGCAGCAAGUCAACCUGUUAAUUUCUCUAAUAUGAAAUGUGAUUUUCCAGAGCUGAAAGGGGAUAAUUAUAAGGUCUGGAAGGAGAGAAUUCUCCUUCACUUGGGAUGGAUGGACAUAGAUUACACCAGAAGGAAGGAGGAGCCCCCCUACAGUAACUGCUACCAUCACUCCAGAGGCAGUUCAACUUUAUGAAAAAUGGGAGCGAUCUAAUUGUCUUUCAGUUAUGUUCAUAAAGACGAAAAUAUCUGCUGGUAUUAGGGGCUCCAUCGAGUAGUGUGACAAAGUCCAAGAUUUGCUUACGGCCGUUGACAAACAAUUCGUCACUUCAGAUAAAGCAAUGGCCAGCACCCUCAUUAGGCAGUUUUCAUCCUUGAAGCUCAUCGGCAUUAAGGUUGUGCGUGAUCAUAUCAUGUGUAUGAGAGAUAUAGCAACCCAACUCAAGACAUUAGAAGUUGAGAUGUCUGAAUCAUUCUCGGUUCACUACAUCCUUUGCACUUUGCCUCAACAAUAUGGCCCAUUCAAGAUCUCCUAUAACAUACAUAAAGAUAAAUGGUCCAUUAAUGAGUUGCUAACCAUGUGUGUUCAGGAAGAGGGCAUACUACUUAUAGAGGAAGGUGAAAAGGAAAAGAUGUAUUUGACAACUCCAGGAAAGAAGAAGAAAGAUCAGGCCAAGGACAAGAUGAAGGGAAAAAUCCAUCCUCGAAAGGACAUCAAGAGGGAGAUUGUGUGCUUCUUUUGCAAGAAGAAACAACACGUGAAGAAGCAAUGCUCAAAGUUCAAGAAGUGGCUUGACAAAAAUGGUACUCAACUCUCAUCUGUUUGUUAUGAAUCCAAUGUGAUUGAUAUUAAUCAUAACACAUGGUGGAUUGAUUCUGGUUCUACGAUCUGUGUGACCAAUUCAUUGCAGGACUUGUGAAAUCUGUGGAAACCAAUGGAAAGUGAGCGUAGCAUCUAUUCAGGAAAUAAGAUGCCCUCACAUGUGGAGGCCAUUGGCAAGUAUAUAUUGGUUUUGAGUAGUGGUUUCAUUUUAAAUUUAGAAAAGACCUUUUAUAUUCCCAGUUUUUCUAAGAUUUGAUUUCAAUUUCCAGACUUGUAUCAGAUGGUUAUUUCUUUAACUUUUUAGACUCUAAAUUUAAUUUAAUUUAUGAAUCUGAUGUUAUUGGAUGUGACACUUUGUCUGAUGGUCUUUUUCUUAUUAAUUUGCAAAACGAUGACAACCAUACUGUCAUGCACAUUCAUGAAAGUAUUGGUACUAAACAAUGUGUUGUGAAUGAAGAGUCUUCUAUGUUGUGGCAUCGAAGACUGGGACACAUCUCCAUUGAUAGAAUUAAAAGGUUGGUGAAUGAUUGGGUACUUAGUACUCUAGAUUUUACAGACUUUGGGACUUUAUAGACUGCAUUAAGUGAAAGCAGACUAACAAGUCGAAAAAGAGUGCCAAGAUAAGCUUUGAAUUAUUGGAAAUCAUACACACAGAUAUUUGUAGUCCAGACAUGGAUGCAUACCGCAAUAAAUAAUUCAUCUAUUUUAUAAAUGAUUACUCACGAUACAUGUAUCUCUACUCGCUUAACAGUAAAAAUGAAAUACUAGAUGCUUUUAAGGUAUUUAAAGCUGAAGUAGGGAAACAAUGCGGUAAAAUAAUUAAGAUAGUGAGAUCCGAUAGAGGUCGAGAAUAAUCUAAUUAAAAAAUUAGGCUCUAAUCAUAAGUCAAUUAUAACGAGAGGAACUAUGAUAUUGACAUGAUGCCUGAUAGCAUUUCUACAAAAUUGGGAAGAACUUUGUUCUCAAUUAAUUGGGAAGUUUAACAAAUAAUAGUGUUAACCAAUUUAUCGACAUCCUAACUAACACUUAUUAAAAUAUUGAGAUUUUUAAUCACUAACAUGAACAAGACAUUGUCUUGAUUGUAUACUCUAAAAAUCAAGCUCACAAUUUUAAAUUUGAGCAGUAAUUUCACAAACUUUAGAUUACUAACACCAUGCAAUCAUCUAGCAUAUGUAACAAAUCUAUUAGAUAUAAACAAUAUUUAGAUGAUCAACGUGGAGGAUGAUGUGGUCCCAUUUAUCACACUAAUUAAUUUUCAGAAAUAUAGGGAAUUCAGUCCCUAUUUUAACUAGUUGUUGUUAGUGAAAGAGAACACACGUCAUAUAUGAUUGAACUAAAGAAUCUUUUGGUUCUUUAUUGCAUAUCCAUUUGAAUUUUUAAUUUCCCAUCAUUAUUAAUCUAGUGAUGAUCAAAAUGGUAAUGUCAAAUAAUAAAGUCGAGUUAAACUUCUUGUUCAGUAUAAAUAUAAUUCAAUUAUUUAGAGGGUGUUUGAGCCCCAUUUUUUAAAAAAAAAAUGCAUUUUAAAAUAUUAGAAUUAUGAGAAUGUGUGGUUUUGAAAAAUAAAGAAUUUUUUUAAUUUACGUGUAAUAUUAUUUUAUGAAGAAUGUGUGGUUGAAAAAAAAAAGAGAAACGUGUAUUUUUGAAAAAAUGAGAAUCAAACAAAGCAUUAAUUUCAAAAAAUAUGAUUAAACAUUAUAUAAUCAUAUAAUGAUCAAUGUCCACAUGACAUAAGUCGCGUGUUUUUCUUCAGAGAUAAACACAAAUUCAUAAAUUAUACAUGAUAUAUUCUUCAAAACAUGUGCGACUCUAAGAGUACGUUAUAUUUUAUUUUCGCUUCUUUAGGAGCAACAUCAAUAUUCUUCUGAAAUAUUGGAAUGGUAGUGUCAUACUUCAGGAACAAUAACAUAUUAUUAUUAAAAUAAUAAAUUAUAUAAGAAUUUACUCUUGCACUUUUUAAAACAUUCAGGGGUAAAAUUGCAAUUUUAUUCUUUUUUUUUUGUUUUAUUUAGAAAGGAAUAUUUUGCUCAUUUACAUUAAAAAAUCGUGAAAAUGGCGUUUUCUGCAAUGAAACAUUGAAAUAGGGGCGAAAAUGUAAAAAAAUGAAACGUAGGGAUGUUUUUCGCAAAAAGUGUCGGACAUAGGGACAUUUUGUGCUAUUAACCCAAAUUUUUAAUAUAAUAUCAAAUUUUUGUUUUAAUUGUUUUAUAAUAAUGAAAUCAUAUUGGAUUUUAGGAUGUAACUUACAAAAAGUUGUACACAUAGUUAUAAAAUUACGUUGUAACAACCUAAAAUCAGGUAUCAAUAUAAUAAUUAAAUAUUAAUCAACACCCAGUUCAUCUCCAAUCCCACUUUUGAAAACCUAAAUCUCUCUCUCUAAUCUCUCUCUUUGCUCUUCUCUCCAGUCGCUGUCUCCAUUAUUUGUCAUCGAAUUGACGGCACGGUUGAUAUGAAGUUUCUGAAAGAAGCCACCACUACUAGUGCUUCCUUAUCACUUUUCACAUUUACAGGAAGCUUCGUUCCUGCNNNNNNNNNNNNNNNNNNNNNNNNNNNNNNNNNNNNNNNNNNNNNNNNNNNNNNNNNNNNNNNNNNNNNNNNNNNNNNNNNNNNNNNNNNNNNNNNNNNNNNNNNNNNNNNNNNNNNNNNNNNNNNNNNNNNNNNNNNNNNNNNNNNNNNNNNNNNNNNNNNNNNNNNNNNNNNNNNNNNNNNNNNNNNNNNNNNNNNNNNUGUUUGUGACCAAAUAUUGUAGUGGAUCAGGAUCGAGCUUUUGGUGUCUGUGACCAACUAUUUGGUUCCCUAUGACUAACUAUUAAACUGUAACCUUAAAAUUUGAUUAGUUGUGACAUAAAAAAGUAAUUUGUGACCAUCAAAUCUGAAAAUAUGUGACUUGCGACAUAAUUUUUUGGAUUUGUAAAUUGUGGCCUUAAAAUUCGAACGUUUGUAACUUAAAAAAGUAAUUUGUGACCAUCAAAUUUGAAAAUAUGUGAAAUGUGACCUAUAAUUUUUUGAAUUUGUAACCAAUUACAUAAAUUGUGACCUAUAAAAUUUUCGAUUUGUGACCUUGACAUAAUUUGUGAUCAAUUAAUUUUAUUAAUAUGUGAUCAAUAAAUAAAUUGUAACCUAUAAUUAUAUUCAUACGACUAUUAAUUGUAUAAAUGUGACCUCAUUGUAUUUAAUUAAUAAAAAAUUUUAAUUAAUUAGCUAAAACCUUAUUUUUGCAUUAGUUAAACUUAAAACCUGAUUUUUGAAUUGUGCAUAGUUAAAACAUGAUUUGUGAAUUUUUUCCUUUUUUUAAUUCAUUCUAUUUGGUGCAUGCUUAGGAAAGAAAACAAACUUUCUUAAUAAAAAAAGUAAGUCCAAAUCCAAUUCUCUGGUCAAAACAACCCUCACAAAAAGCCCAAAUCCAAUUCUCUUCAUCUGUUCUCUCGCUACUUUGAAUUGCUCAAAAUCUCUCAUCAGUCGCUUGUAGUCUCACUGUAGUCAACGAUUACUCCUUUGUACUACGUGAUUGUAUUCAAAUAAUUCAUUUGCUACUUUUGGCAAAAACAAAAUGAUUCGACUAUGUGAAUAUUAUUCGGUAGAUUUUGAGGUAGUAGAUAUCCUGAAAUUUGAUGAUCAUCUUGAUGCAUAUAUUCUUGACGUGCACAUUGAUGGAAAUUUUGGAGGAUUACAAGGUUUUAAUGAACUUAUAAAGAAGUUAUGAAAAAUAAAUAUCAAGAGUAUUCAUUAGCAUACAAGCUUGUGAUAUUGACCUUAAUUCCUUCCCUGGCUACUAUUAAAAUUGAAUUGUAUGAUCAGUGAUUGAAUGAUAGUUUGAUUGUACAUAUUGAAAAUAUUGAAAAUGAUGUAAUUAUAGAACAUUAUCAAAGUAUGAGAAUGCAUAGAAAAUAAUUAUAAUAAGAUAUCGCAUGCUUUAAUUUUUUCACAAAUUUUAUUGCAAGUUUAAUUGUGACCUAAUUCAAAAUGCCUACGUUUGCCACUGCAUGAUGUUUACUAUAAAUCUAACAAUAUGUAUGGACUGCAAUAUUAUUUUGUAUGUUAUGAUUAUCUACAAUACUCACUUUUGUUUCAUCAAGGUGAAACUAGUUGGCACCAUGGUGCUCAAACAGUUGAUAAAGAACAACAAUAUUGCGUGAAUUAAGCCCUUUUUUUGUACACGUCAAUUUGUAGCAACUGAAGGAAUAAUUGCAAAUGAAGCAGUGAUAUCUUUUUGAUAAGUUUUUUCCAUUAUGUUGUUGUUUCUGCAGAUUUUUGUUUCUCAUAAUUUGUUUAACAGUAUUAAGAUUUUAGACAUCUAGAUUAUAUUAAUCUGACUUAAUUAUGAGCCGAACUUUAUCAAGGUCUAGUUGAUAUUAUAUAGAUUAGUGAGAGUAUAGGUGAGAAAGUUGGUCGAAGUGUUGUCUCGCCUUAGUCAUAUAUUGGCAGACCUAUUUAAAUUUAUAUAAAUUACUUUAUUGAAUUUAAUUUCAGUUCCAAUAUUAUACAAUGACAAAUGAAAAUUCUUUGUUGUGAUAUUCUAUGUUAAAGAUUUUGAAAAAUAAAUUAAGAUAAUUUCUGUAUUAUUUAUUAAUUUGAAGUUUAAAACUAAUUUCUAAUUCAAUUUAAGUUGAAGUUAUGAUUUAUAUCAUUUUUCAACUUUCAAAAUCUCAAAAAUGCUUGCACAAGUGUCUUGGUUUUUGUUGUGGAUGAUCUUUGUCUCUCUCUCUCUCUCUCUUUUUUUUUGACUGAAACUUGACAGAAGAGAAUGCAAAUAUAAAUAUUUUUAAUAAAAAUAUAUAAUCUUCGGUAAACAAUGAAAAUUUCAAAAACUAUGUUAUUAAAGUUGUUAGAGACUCGAUCAUAAGGUAAUCUAUGAAGAAGAUAUGAAAUGAAGAAAAGAAAUUAACUUUUUAACGAGAAAUAUAUAAUAAUUAAAUUCUUAAAGAGAUAUAUAAAGUGUUAAUUAUAGUAUUGUACAUGUUGUAAUUCGAUAUUUUUAAUGAAGUGUAUUUUUAAUGUGUUCAGCUUUUAUAAUGACAUAUUUAUAAAUUUUUUAUAUUAUUUUGGAAAAUAUUUAGUUACCAAUUAUUUUAUACAGAAGUUGCAUUUUGUACUAUUGAAUAAAAUAUAAAUUUCAAAAAAAUAAUGAGUAAACUGUAAGCCUCUAUUUAGUUUAUACAAAAAUUAAGUUUUAGUAAUAAAAAUUGAUGAAAUAUAUAAUUAAAAAAUUAUCAUUUUCCAUAAAAUAUAUGAUUAAAUUAAUUAUUAAUUUUCAAUGAUUUUUUUUUAAUUAAACCAAACAAGGGCGAUAUACACACAAUAAAUAUCCUUCUUGUUGACAUUGAAAUGGCCAAUUGUACCCUCGCAUUUGAUUCCAAACAGGCAAGAAAAAAUAGUUAGAAUUUUAUUUUAUUUUUGGUCCAAAUAAAGUCGAACUUUUGCUCAAUCAAAAAAUUUAGGUUCAACUUGACUUUUUGACUCAGAUCUUUAUCAAGCCGAGCCUAGAGGCCUAGACCUUUGCAGUCUCUUUGGAGUGGAUGACAGAUUUCACUGAAUUGAUUGGCCAAUUGUACCCACGCAAGUGGCUCCAGACAAGAAAGAAACAAUUUAUUCUUCACGUGCCCUGAAAUCUGCAAGCCAUAAGACAUGAUGUAAUCAAUCUAGGAAUCUUGCAUCUUCUGAUGAAAUAAAUGUAUAUUUCUCUUUUUAUCACCUAAAUUUGUGUAUUUAAAUUUGAGAAAAUUAGAGAAACUGCUAGACACUACCUGAUAAAGGCAAUAGGGAUCGUACUAUGUCCAUCGAGACGAGAGAAACUUCUGUAGAGUGAUCGUACCACGUGACAGUGUAACCGCCUUAUCAAGGUGCACCACCUUAGCGGAUGGCCCACACACCUCACGCGGUGCGACUGCCCUAUUAAAGUGCGCUACCUAGGUCGGUGGGCCACCACACACCCCUUGAGGUGUGUGGGCCACCCACUGAAGUGGCGCCUCAUUACGGAUGGUGCGACUGUCCCACUAAAGAUUUUCUCCAUUGAGAUAGUUGUGUGAGUCGAACAUUCGUAUAGAUGGGUCAAGUUUUUCGCAUAUAAAUUUGAGCUAUUAAAAAAAAGAUUUUGAUCAAAGUCAAAGUUAACAAUUAAUUUUAACUACACAUUUCAAUGGAUUCAUAACUUUUCAACCAUACAUUUUAUCAACUUCUAUCAAAAUUUACUAAAACUCUAAUUUUAAUCACCACCAAAUAAGGGUUUUACUUUAACUUUGAGGUGAUUUUAGCCUUAAAUCACUUUUAAAUCAUAUAUAUGGGGCCCGUUUGACGUGAUUUUUAUUUUAACUUUUAUCGCCUCUAGUGUUUGAAAAGUAAUUUUUAAAAUGAUUCCCUAUUUUAGAAGUAUUUUUAGAGAAAGUCAAACUGAAUCUGUUUCCUCUAAAAACUUUUUUAAUUAGAAAAAUCACUUUCAUAAAAUUAGUCAAAUAAGUUCAAAAAUAACUUUUAUUCGAGCCACAUUUUUUUCAAAAAAGAAUAUAUUUUUAAACAGUGAUUUAAUAUUAAUCCAACCACACAUUUUUCAAUAAAAUAAUAUUACACCAAAAUUCAAAACUUUUCUUUAUUUUUUAACCAUAUAUUUUCCAUCUAUACACUAUUAAAAAAUGCAUACUAAAGAAAAUAAUGCACCUCAAACAAGGGCUUAGAUUUCAAAACUUUCUUUUUAAUUUUUUAAAAGUUAUGUGGGUCCAUUGUAGUUUCAUUGAUGAACGUUAUUACUUUAAAAUUAUCUUUUUGGGAAAUUUCAUGGGCCAUCUAUGUUUCUCCGAAGUUAUGAGGAUCUGAUUAGAAUAAAAUAAAUAAAUAAAUAAAUAAAUAAUGGGUUUAGUUCAGCUCCUUCAACAAAAAAAACUAAAAAAUAGUAUGUCGUGACGUUAAUGUUAUAAAAUCGGUAACAAAAAUAUGAAAAAAAGGGGGNNNNNNNNNNNNNNNNNNNNNNNNNNNNNNNNNNNNNNNNNNNNNNNNNUGGGAGGAAAUAAAAAGAAAGUAAAUAAGCUAAUUAAAUAAAAUAUUAUUUUUUCUACUUUUUAUAAAUUUUUGAAGGUUUAAUAAGCUAAUUAAAUAAAAUAUUAUUUUUCAUGGUUUUAGAAUAAUUUAAAUAAUUCUAAAAAAAUCAGAACGUCUUAUUAUGUCUAACUUCAUAUAUGCGUACUUAUACUUGUAAAUUUGAGGUUAGACCUUACCUUCAUGCACUAUUCCACGCUUUUUAAAACAUUCUUAAAUCAAUAAAACCAUAGAUACAAGAAAAAUUUAUCAAAACUUGUAUCGACGUUGAUGUGGCAAAAUGUAAAUGAACUAUUUUUUUUUCAUUUUUUCCUAUAUUUCAAUGAUGUCACGCCAAAUAUUGUCUGCAAGGUUUUUUCGUAAUUUUAAAAUCUUCUUAAAUAGUAUUAAUAAUAUAAUAAUCAUUUACUUAACUAACUUAGCAACACCCUAGUAAGCAAAAUAAUCAUUACAUAUAUAAUUCUCUUCUCUGCUUCUUGAUCAUAAUUUUCAUGGAUUCAUUAAGUUCAUAUUCUGACCCAAAUCCGUUCUGCGUUUCCGACAUGCCUGAGAUUACAUCGUUGAAGGGACAUUCUGACGAAGAGGUUAUUUUGGCGUCGAGUCAGCCCAAGAAACGUACAGGAAGGAAGAAGUUCAAGGAAACUCGCCACCCUGUUUAUCGAGGCAUUAGACAGCGGAAUUCAAACAAAUGGGUAUGCGAGUUACGUGAACCGAGAAAUCAGAAAAGGAUAUGGCUAGGAACUCAUCCUACUGCAGAAAUGGCAGCACGUGCUCAUGAUGUUGCUGCAUUAGCAUUCAGAGGUCAGUUGGCAUGCCUGAAUUUCGCCGAUUCUGUCUGGUGCUUGCCGGUGCCGGUUUCUGAAGAUGCUAAGGAUAUUCAGAAGGCGGCAAUAGAGGCGGCAGAACUGUUCAGGCCGUUCGAGGGGGGUGGUGGUGGUGGGACAAUAAUGCAAGAAAAUGAGAUGAAUUCUGAGGGGGUUUCAAGUGGCAAUUUGACAACAUUGGACACAACAAAAACACUAUCAGAUUGUGAUAUUUUUAAUAUGAAUGAGGAUUCAGAGACAAAUAUGGAAGGAGUUUUGCUGUCACCACAACCUCGUUUAGACUACAGUUUCGGCUGGGAUGAUUUGGAAAACGAUGAUGCUGAGAUGGUGCUUUGGAGCUAUUCUAUUUGAUGUCAUAGUAGUUUCGGAUAGUAAAGUGCGUAAAACACAAAAAUAAAGAAGCAAGAUAUAGUAUAUGGUGAAUGGAGAGUAGGUGAGUCAAGUUGAUCUGGUAUUUGGUUUUGAAGUCCAAUCACCCAGACUGCUUAUUAUAAGACAAAAAGUAAGAGGAAAAAAUAUCAGGCAAGUAAGAGUGUAAAACCGACUUAAGAGUGGUCCACAUAUCCCAUAUCCCACUACUUCAACAACUGACCCAAUGUUUAAAAAUCACAUUUGAUAACUACCCAUGUUCUAAGGACGUGCAAAAAAAAAAAAAAGAAUACUCUGUGAUGGGCAGAGCAUUUAUAAAAUGCAUUCGGAAGGUCCCUAAGAUCAUUUUCAUGUUCAGUUUGUAUGCACCAUCUAAGCAGUGAGAAAGAGAGCUUAGAAGAGCCUUAACCCGCAGCUAAACACUACCUACAAGCUUGAGUGAGUGCGUCAAGAACGGCAAUGGCAGGAUGUUCGUUUUCGAUCCAUUUUACUCUGCAUUGAUCUAAAUGUUAUUUUGUUUAUUAAAACAUGUUUAGAUCGCUUAAGGUGACUUACAUUUGAUAUCAGAGCCUUCGUUUUGCCUUUGCCUUGUUUGUUCUUAGCCUGCACACAUUCUGUUGAAAAUUUUGGCAUUUGAUUUAGUCUGUUAUAUAGAAACUGAGAUUAGGAAUCAUUAGGAAAUCGAUUUAUGAGAAUUUUGAUAUAAAAUAUGAGAGAUUUGGUGGUCGGAAUCAUGAGAUAUGAAAGGGUUUUUCAUUCGGGUUGAAACCGGGUUACAUCGACCCGUCGGGAGGUUGAAGAUAACCUCUAUUAAAAAAAAAAAAAAUAAAAUAAAAUAAAAUAGUAAACAGUCUUUUCAAACUUGUUUGCAAGGAGACAUGGCAACUUAUGUUGACAUGCAGUGGCCCUUCCUUGUCUCUUACUAGUUAAGGUACAAGAAUGGUUUUUGUUUUAACGAUUAGUUUCUAGCACGUGAGCCCACUUGUAUGAAAUAAAGGCCGUCGUUGAUAUAAUAGAAAUUGAAUGUUUAAUAUUAUUAUUUCGGAUUACUUUAAUAAAAUUUUGGACUUGUACUAGUACCAGUCGAAAAUUUUGAAAUUGUAUCUCUUUGUGGACCCAUGUGCUGGAAAUUAAUGAGAAUUAUUUGGUGAUUUUGUUUUCAUAUGUACUAAACUUAUUUUGCCCCCAUUUAGCCAUCAUUUUCCUUCUCAUUAUUUUUCUCUCUUAUUUUUAACUACAUAAUCAUUCAUAAAAUAAUAUUAAACUCAAAUAAAAAACUUUUCAUUUUUCUCAACCACACAUUUUUAAAAAAAACACUAUUCCAACCAUUAAAAUUUAGCAAGAAUGGGGGCCAAACAGGUGUUAUAUUGUUUUGUAUGUAUAAUUUUUAUUGUUUUGUUAUAUAUACAAUAUUGAGUUAAAUAAUUUAGUACAUUAAAAUUUAAUUUUUGUGUUCAUAUUGCUUAUGGUUUUGUGCAAUUUAUAUGAGCAUAUUUUUGUGAAUUAAAUUAAAAGUUGAGUGACCAUAUAAUUUAAUUAAUUGGGGAGUAGCCACAUCAUCCUUAAUUAUACAAAAUUAUAUAUUAAAUGUAUAGGAUCACAUAUUGAAUAAAGACAUUAAUUGUGGUUAAUCAUAUUUAAUAUAAUGAAUAUUAUCCCACAAGAAUUUUAUUAUAUAUCUUUGAUUAAUUAAGAUAAAAUAUCAAACUAUAUUUUCUAAUUUGCCCCCAAGGAUUAGAAACGGGAACAUAAUUUGAUAGUUUUAUUGUGUAGUUAAAAUAAAUCUAAUUGAAUUAGAACUUUAGCCCACAUGCAAGUCUUAUGUCACUAGAUUCAUAUUUUGCAUGAUUUUAUAUCUGUAAAACAUGUCUUAUGUUAUGUUAGCUUCAAAUUUUGUAAAAUGAGCAUGAAUGUUUGAUUUAUUGCAGCAAGUCAACUUGUUAAUUUCUCUAAUAUAAAAAGUGAUUUUCCCGAGCUGAAAGGGGAUUGUUAUAAGGCCUGGAAGGAGAGAAUUCUCAAUCACUUGGGAUGGAUGGACAUAGAUUACGCCAUAAGGAAGGAAGAGCCCCCUAUAGUAAUCACUACCAGCACUUCAGAGGCAGUUCAACUUUAUGAAAAGUGGGAGCGAUCUAAUCGUCUUUCCGUUAUGUUCAUAAAGACGAAAAUAUCUAAUGGUAGUAGGGGCUCCAUCGAGUAGUGUGACAAAGUCCAAGAUUUGCUUAAGGCCGUUAACAAACAAUUCGUCACUUCAUAUAAAGCGAUGGCCAGCACUCUCAUUAUGCAGUUUUCAUCCUUGAAGCUCAUCGACAUUAAGGUUGUGCGUGAUCAUAUCAUGCGCAUGAGAGAUAUAGCAACCCAACUCAAGACAUUGGAAGUUGAGAUGUCCGAAUCACUCCUGGUUCACUAUAUCCUUUGCACUUUGCCUCAACAAUAUGGCCCAUUCAAGAUCACCUAUAACACACAUAAAGUUAAUAGUCCAUUAAUGAGUUGUUGACCAUGUGUGUUCAGGAAGAGGGCACACUACUUAUAGAGGAAGGUAAAAAGGAAAAGAUGUAUUUGACAACUCCAGGAAAGAAAAAGAAAGAUCGGGCCAAGGACAAGGGGAAGGGAAAAAUCCAUCCUCAAAAUGACAUUAAGAAGGAGAUUGUGUGCUUCUUUUGCAAGAAGAAGCGGCACGUUAAGAAGCAAUCCUCCAAGUUCAUGAAGUGGCUUGACAAAAAGGAUACUCAACUCUCACCUGUUUGUUUUGAAUCCAAUAUGAUUGAUAUUAAUCAUAACACAUGGUGGAUUGAUUCUGGUUCUACGAUCUAUAUGACCAAUUCAUUGCAGGACUUGGGGUACUUAGUACUCUAAAUUUUACGGACUUUGGGACUUGUAUAGACUACAUUAAGGGAAAGUAGACUAACAAGUCAAAAAAGGGUGCCAAGAGAAGCUCUAAAUUAUUGAAAAUCAUAUUCACAGAUAUUUGUAGUCCAGACAUGGAUGCAUACCACGAUAAAUACUUCAUCUCUUUUAUAGAUGAUUACUCGCGAUACAUGUAUCUCUACUCGCUUAACAGUAAAAAUGAAGUACUAGGUGCUUUUAAGGUAUUUAAAGCUGAAGUAGAGAAACAUUAAUGCGGUAAAAUAAUUAAGAUAGUGAGAUCCGAUAGAGGUGGAGAAUAAUCUAAUGAAAAAAUUAGGCUCUAAUCAUAAGUCAAUUAUAACGAGAGGAACUAUGAUAUUGACAUGAUGCGUGAUAGCAUUUCUACAAAAUUGGGAAGAACUUUAUUCUCAAUUAAUUGGAGAAGUUUAAAGAAUAAUAGUGUUAAAGAAUUUGUUGACAUCAUAACUAACACUUAUUAAAAUAUUGUGAUUUUUAAUCACUAACAUUAACAAGACAUUGUCUUGAUUGUAUACUCUAAAAAUCAAGCUCAUAAUUCUAAAUUUGAGCAGUAAUUUCACAAACUUCUUACCAACACCAUGCAGUCAUCUAGUAUAUGUAACAAAUUUAUUAGAUAUAAACAAUAUUUAGAUGAUCAACGUGGAGGAUGAUGUGGCCUCAUUUAUCACACCAAUCAAUUUUCAGAAAUAUAGGGAAUUCAGUCCCUAUUUUAACUAGUUGUUGUUAAUGAAAGAGAACACACGUCAUAUAUGAUUGAAUUGAAAAUUUUUUUUGGUUCUUUAUUACAUAUCCAUUUGAAUUUUUAAUUUCGCAUCAUUAUUAAUCUAGUGAUGAUCAAACUAGUCAUGCCAAAUAAUAAAGUCGAAUUGAACUUCUUGUUCAGUAUAAAUAUAAUUCAAUUAUUUAGAGGGUAUUUGAGCCGCAUUUUUAAGAAAAAUGCAUUUUAGAAUAGUAGAAUGAUGAGAAAUGUGUGGUUGAAAAAUAUGAAAAUUUUUUAAAUUUACGUGUAAUAUUAUUUUAUGAAGAAUGUGUGGUUAAAAAAAAAACUUGUAUUUUUGAAAAAAUAAGAAUCAAACAAAGCAUUAAUUACAAAAAAUAUGAUUAAACAUUAUAUAAUCAUAUAAUGAUCAAUGUCCACAUGAAAUAAGUUGUAUUUUUUUCUUUAGAGAUAAACACAAAUUCAUAAAUUAUACAUGAUUUAUUUUUCAAAACAUGUGCUACUUUAAGAGUACGGUAUAUUUUAUUUUCGCUUCUUUAGGAGCAACAUCAAUAUUUUUCUGAAAUAUUGGAAUCGUAAUGUCAUACUUCAGGAGCAAUAAUAUAUUAUUAUUAAAAUAAUAAAUUAUAUAAGAAUUUACUCUUUAGGAGGAAAAACAUAAUUUACGUUAGAUCGUAUUUAAUUAUGCUCUUCGAGAGUAAGUGAAAUGUAACAAAAAUAUUUGUCAAUAAUAGUGUGUUGCUUCAUGAGAAAUAAUAUUCUUUUAGAACAAUGUUGUGCUACUAAAGGAGCGCCAAUAAAUUAUUAUUUAAAAAGAUUAAAUCUUCUGGAGUAUGAUUUCUAGACAAAUAUCAACAUUUGAAAAGUUGUACUUCUUCAAAAGUACUUUAUGUUUUACUAUUACUUCUUCAGCUGCAAUAAACCAAUAUCUUCAUUUGAAAUAUAAAAAAUUGAAAUUCAUGCUUUUCAUAGCAAUAUGUCUAUUAUUUUGGAAUAUUGAAAAUUAUGAUUCAUAUUCAUCGAGAGCAAAUAAUAUUUUUUGGAAAUGUUAAAAAAUAUAGUUCAUAUUCUUCAGAAACAAGUAAUAUUCUUCAAAAAUAUUAUUUAUAAUGUUGUGUUACUUCAAGAGCAACUACAAAGUAUUUAUAAUAGAUAGAUGGUUUUAUAAAUGGUUUAACAUACAACAUACAAUUACACUUACCUCGUAAAUUUGAAGAGGGUUUUAUAAACUACGUACGGAAGAUCUUGACCUUAAACAAACGUUUAUGAACUAUGUGUUCAGUGUGGGACAACAUACACACACAACACAAAUAUAUUUUAAAUUAAUCAAUUAUAAUUAUGCAUAUAUAGAUGCACAUAAUUAUAGCAAUACUAUAAUUUAAUCAAUUUCUCGUAAUUAUAUAUAAUUAUACAUAUAUAUGUACGUAAUUUUAGUAAUACUAUAUUUGAAAUCAAUCAACCAUAAUUAUACAUAUACAAAUGCACAUAAUUAUUGUAACAUUAUAUUUAAAUCAAUCAAUUGUAAUUAUAUAUAAUUAUACAUAGAUAGACGUACGUAAUUGUAGUAAUACCAUAUUUGAAAUCAAUCAACCAUAAUUAUGUAUAAUUAUACAUAUAUAGACUUACAUAAUUAUAGCAAUCACAAAAUUUAAAUCAAUUGUUCAUAUAUUAUAUAUAUAGAAAAUUACACUUGUAGUCCCUCAACUAUUUGGGUGAUGUGCAAUUUGAUCAUCUAACUUCAUCCUCUUACACUAAGGUCCUAAUUUUAUAAUUAAUGACUAUAAAGAAAUUUGGUGUAUUACAAUCUAUCCCUAUUAAAACAAAUUUUCAUCCUCGAAUACCCUCUUAAAAUAGAUUUUCAUUCUAAAAAAUUACCUUAGAUAUCAUCAACAAACAGUUAUAUAUAUAUAUAUAUAUAUAUAAAUUUUGUUUGAUAUAUAUAUAUAUCAACAAACAGUUAUUAAUUGGUUGUUAUUAAAUAUAAAUUUUGUUUGUAUAUAUAGAUAGAUAUAGAUUGAUAUAUGUAUAGUUAUAAAUGUAUAUUUGUUAAUAUCUUCACACGAGUAUCUCUCUCUUCCACUCAAAUUAACUACAUUUAAAAAACUUCCACAUAUCCACUCGUCAUUCCAUUUUCCCCACUUAUCCAACUAAUAAGAAAGAUUCCAUCAAGUCCCUUAUAUAUUUAUCUCACAUCACUCACCAUUUCUUUUAUUUUAAUAUUUCAUAACUUGUAUUCCCAUAUUUUAUUACUCAUUUUCUUCCAUAUUUUUGGGUAUCAAAACAACAAAAAAUUGUCCAGUAGCAUUUAAAGUACUCAUUUUAUCUCAACAUUUUUCAUUUGAUUGAAACGCCUUUGAAGGUUAUAAGGUAAGAUAACGACGUACAGGUAGUUUUGUCCUGUUUAAUUUUUUUUAUUUCAUAUUGAUAAAUAUUUUAAUGAUGAUAUGAAACGAUAUGAUAUAUAUGGCCAUCCGAUACAAAUAAUACGAUAUGAUAUGGGCUUUUACCAGCUUUAAAGAUUUGAUACAACGGUACGAUAUAUUUUAAUAUAUGAAUGAUAAAUAUUAUUCGUAUCCUAUUGAGUAUUCCCAUACUCACCCCAAUUUCUCCUACUUCAUAGGUUAGUUCGGGUCGUAUCAAACCGUGGUGAUUCGAUUGGGUGGUUGUGCCUCAUUUAGCUGGACAAAGCUAAAAUUUAAAAUGUAACUUUAUUUCUUUUAAGUUUAAUUGCAAUAGAUAUUAUUCAUAAUUAAAUUCUCAUACAUGUUAUUUGUAUAUGGAUGUAUUUAGUUUGCACUUUUGAUUAAAAGUUUGAAUUUAAUUGUUUGAUGUAGUGGUGUAAUUAUCUUCCGCUCAUUUUUUUUAAAAAUUAAUUGUUUCGUUAGCUGUUGAAUAUGUUAAAAUACAAUUAUCUACUUCUAAUAAAUUGGAUUUCAAAGAGUGUGCGAGUUAGUAGUUAAAAUUGUUGAAUCAUAUAAAAUAUGAGGUUGAAUUUAAAAUUGACCAUUUUUUUAAGCAAACUUUUGGGUGACGACUUAAAAUAUAAAAAAUUGGAUUUCAAUUUUGGUCUGCAUUGUGAUAAAGAAUUAUGUAUGAAUUAUAAAGAUGUUUAUACAUUUAGAAUCUAUGGACAAAUAUAUCAUUAUGUGAAAAAGUUCUUUCUUUUAAUGGUCAUCCUUCAUUUACAGUUAUAUUUCUUUGGAACUAAAAAUUAAAUGCAAAAUUGAUUACAACCUUUUGAAAAAUUGAUCGAACCAAUCGUUUCAAAAUUAAUAUAUAUUUUAAAUGUUAUUCAUUAAUAAAAUGUUUUCCGUUUUCCAAAGUUUAAAUAUUUUUCCUGAUUUAAAAUGUCAUUCUAAUUGAAUAAGAUGCGAUAUUGAACUUGAUCAAAAAAGUGUAAUAUACCCAAGUUAUGCAAUUUGGGUUGAGGACAUUAAAUCAACAAAUAUUAAGACAAGUGAUUAUACUGUUGGACCCAAGGUAAGUCAUGGUGGGUCAUGUGAUUUAAACAUCAUAAUUCAAAUAACAGGGCUGAAAUUUCAUUAUGCAAAAAUCAAGUGUCAAUAUAAUAAUUAAAUAUUAAUCAAUACCCAAUUCAUCUCCAAUCUCAUUUUUGAAAACCUAAAUCUCUCUCUCUAAUCUCUCUCUUCCUUCUUCUCUCUAGUCGCUGUCUCCAUUAUCUGUCAUCGGAUCGGUGGCUCGGUUGAUGUGAAGUUUCUGAGAGAAGCCACCACUACUAGUGCUCCCUUAUCACUUUUCACAUUUAUAGGAAGCUUCGCUCCUGCGCUUUGCCACAACACUCGACAGUGCAGCUGUCUCCCUUCUCUUUGUUAUCGGAUCGACGACGCGAUCGAUGCUGAGUUUCCUGAGAGAAGCCACCGCUGCAGGUGCUUUCUUAUCCCUUUCCAUAUAAACUUGGUUCUUGCGCCUUCCACAUCUCACGACGGUGUCUCCUUGAUUGAAGAGACCUGUGAGCAUGGCUUGAGACACCCAUCAUUUUGUUGUUGUUGGCGGUGUUUAAGGUUGUGUUGUGUCGGGGGACAGUGAUGUUGAUUUGGUGGUGAUGAAGCCAUGCAUCCUACAUUUUUUCCGUCUUUCUAUUGCAACUGAGUGGAAGUGGUGGCGGUGGUUUUGAUGGUUGCGGUGGCAAGGUGGUGAUGGUCGUCAAAGUUAUUGCGAUGGUUGUGGGUGUAGGUGUUGGUGGUGUGAUCACCAGUUGUGUUUGUGUGGAAGUGUAUUGGUACGGUAUCUAGGUGUUUGUUGGUUUUUGGAAUGGUGGUGGAUGUAGUGGUGGUGCCGAGAGGUAGCGAUGACAAUUGGGUGGCCUGCUUGGCUUAGUGCGGUGGCUGUUGUUGAUGUAUUUUAGUUAGGUUUGUUGAAAUUUUGGAGUGGUGGUGGUGGUGGUAGUGGUGGUGGCCAUGGUUGUGAUUGUAUUGUGGCGGGGUAGGGUAGUGUUGGUGACCAAAUAUUGUAGUGGAUCGGGAUCGAGCAUUUGGUGUUUGUGACCAAUUAUUUGGUUUCCUGUGACUAACUAUUAAACUGUGGCCUUAAAAUUUGAUUAGUUGUGACCUAAAAAAGUAAUUUGUGAUCAUCAAAUCUGAAUAUAUGCGACUUGCGACCCAUAAUUUUUUGGACUUGUAAACUGUCGCCUUAAAAUUUGAACAUUUGUGACUUAAAAAGUAAUCUAUGACCAUCAAAUUUGAAAAUAUGUGAAAUGUGACCUAUAAUUUUUUGGAUUUGUAACCAAUGACAUAAAUUGUGACCUGUAAAGUUUUCGAUUUGUGACCUUGACAUAAUUUGUGACCAAUUAAUUUGACUAAUAUAUGACCAAUAAAUAAAUUGUAAUCUAUAAUUAUAUUCAUGCAACCAUUAAUUGUAGAAAUUUGAUCUCAUUGUAUUUAAUUAAUAAAUAUUUUUAAUUAAUUAGCUAAAAUCUUAUUUUUGCAUUAGUUAAACUUAAAACCUGAUUUUUGAAUUGUGCAUAGUUAAACAUGAUUUGUGAAUUUUUCCAUUUUUUUAAUUCACUCUAUUCGGUGCAUGCUUAGGAAAGAAAAUAAACUUUCUUAAUAAAAAAGUAAGUCUAAAUCCAAUUCUCUGGUCAAAACGACCCUCACAAAAAGCCCAAAUCCAAUUCUCUCCAUCCGUUCUCUCGCUACUUUGAAUUGCUCAUAAUCUCUCAUCGGUCGCUUGUAGUCUCACUGCAGUCAAUGGUUACUCCUUUGUAUUAUGUCAUUGUAUUCAAAUAAUUUAUUUGCUACUUUUGGCAAAAACAAAAUUAUUCGACUAUGUGAAUAUUAUUCGGUAGAUUUUGAGGUAGUAGAUAUCUUGAAAUUGAUGAUCAUCUUGAUGCAUAUAUUCUUAACUUGCACAUUGAUGGAAAUUUUGGAGGAUUACAAGGUCUUAAUGAACUUAUAAAGAAGUUGCGAAAAAUAAACAUCAAGUGUAUUCAUUAGCGUACAAGCUUGUGAUAUUGACCUUAAUUCUUCCCCUGGCUACUAUUAAAAUUGAAUCGGAUGAUCAGUGAUUGAAUGAUAGUUAAAAAUGAAGUAAUUAUAGAAUAUUAUCAAAGUAUGAGAAUGUAUAGAAAACAAUUAUAAUAAGAUAUCGCAUGCUUUAAUUUUUUCACAAAUUUUUUUGCAAGUUUGAUUGUGCCCUAACUCAAAAUGCCUACGUUUGCCACUGCAUGAUGUUUACUAUAAAUCUAACAAUAUGUAUGGACUGCAAUAUUAUUUUGUAUGUUAUGAUUAUCUGCAAUACUCACUUUUGUUUCAUCAAGGUGAAACUAGUUGGCACCAUGGUGCUCAAACAGUCGAUAAAAACAACAAUAUUGCAUGAAUUAAGCCCCUUUUUUGUACACGUCAAUUUUUUUCAACUGAAGGAAUAAUUGCAAAUGAAGCAGUGAUAUCUUUUUGAUAAGUUGUUUCCAUUAUGUUGUUGUUUCUGUAGAUUUUGUUUCUCAUAAUUUGUUUAAAUGUUGUAUUAAGAUUUUAGACAUCUAGAUUAUAUUAAUCUGACUUAAUUAUGAGCCGGACUUUAUCAAGUUAUAGUUGAUAUUAUAUAGAUUAGUGAGAGUAUAGGUGAGAAAGUUGGUCGAAGUGUUGUCUCGCCUUAGUCAUAUAUUGGCAGACCUAUUUAAAUUUAUAUAAACUACUUUAUUGAAUUUAAUUUCAGUUCCAAUAUUAUACAAUGACAAAUGAAAAUUCUUUGUUGUGAUAUUCCAUGUUAAUGAUUUUCAAAAAUAAAUUAAGAUAUAUUCAGUAUUAGUUAUUAAUUCGAAGUUUAAAACUAAUUUCUUAUUCAAUUUAAGUUAAAGUUAUGAUUUAUAUCAUUUUUCAACUUUCAAAAUUUCAAAAAUGCUUGCACAAGUGUCUUGGUUUUUGUUGUGGAUGAUCUUUGUCUCUCUCUUUUUUGUUUUAUUUUAUUUUUUUUGAAUGAAGCUUGACAGAAGAGAAUGCAAAUAUAAAUAUUUUUAAUUAAAAUAUAUAGUCUUCGGUAAACAAUGAAAAUUUCAAAAACUAUGUUAUUAAAGUUGUUAGAGUCUCGAUCAUAAGUUAAUCUAUGGAGAAGAUAUGAAAUGAAGAAAAGAAAUUGACUUUUUAAAAUUCUUAAAGAGAUAUAUAAAGUGUUAAUUAUAGUAUUGUACAUGUUGUAAUUCGAUAUUUUUAAUGAAGUGUAUUUUUAUGUGUUUAGCUUUUAUAAUGACAUAUUUAUAUAUUAUUAUAUUAUUUUGGAAAAUAUAUAGUACCCAAUUAUUUUAUUCAGAAGUUGUAUUUUGUACUAUUGAAUAAAAUAUAAAUUUCAAAAAAAUAAUGUGUAAACUGUAAGCCUCUAUUUAGUUUAGACAAAAAUUAAGUUUUAGUAAUAAAAAUUGAUGAAAUAUAUAAUGAAAAAUUAUGAUUUACCAUAAAAUAUAUGAUUAAAAUUAAUUAUUAAUUUUCAAUGAUUUUUUUUUAAAAUUAAACCAAACAAGGGCGAUAUACACACAAUAAAUAUAAUAAAAAUUUUAUUCUGUAAAUUUCCUUCUUGUUGACAUUGAAAUGGCCAAUUGUACCCUCGCAUUUGCUUCCAAACAGGCAAGAAAAGAUGGUUAGAAUUUAUUUUUUUGGGGUCCGAAUAGAUUCGAACUUUUGCUCGAUCAAAACUUCUGGGUUCGACUUGACUUUUUGACUCAGAUCUUUCUCGAGCCGAGCCUAGAGGCCUAGACCUUUGCAGUCUCUUUGGAGUGGAUGAUAGAUUUCCUCCACUGAAUUAAUUGGCCAAUUGUACCCUCGCAAUUGGCUCCAGUCAAGAAAGAAAUAAUUUAUUCUUCACGGUCCCUGAAAUCUGCGAACCAUAAGACAUGAUGUAAACAACCUAGGAAUCUUCACAUCUUAUGAUGAAAUAAAUGUAUGGGGCAUUUGUUUCUCAUUUUUGUAAAAAUGAGAAUGAAAAAUAUAACUCUUAUGGGUAGGGUUGCUCGGCUUGGCCCAUGAAAGCACGAGCUCAGCUCGUCCGAAAAUGGGUGAGCUCGGCUCGCGAGCAAACAUCAUUUUUCCAUUUUUUUUUAAACAAAUAGGUAAAUUGGAAAAUAAAAAAGUAAUUUUAAUUUUUAAAUUAUGAAUUAUAUAUAAAAAAAACUAGGUAAAAAAUUUAAACCCUCCUCCUUUAUCCGGGUUUGGGACCGACUACUUAAAAUGUAGAUGUAUAGUAGUAAUAAUACCAAGUACUAACAAAAAUUUAACUAAAUUGGUGGAAAGGAAUUUUUUUUAUUUAUUUUUUUAACUAAAAGAGAUAGAAAAAAUAAAAAUGAAAUCUUUAUUUUUUUAUUUUUCUUUUUAAAAUAGAUAAACCCUUCUCCUUUAUCCGGGUUUGAGACCGGCUACUUAAAUUUUCAGUAGGCGGAGUUAAAAAUUGUAUACAAACAAUUUUUUGUAGCAUGUACAAUUUUUUAAAGAAAAUUAAAAGUAACGAUAAGAAAAGAAAAGUUUCAUCAAUAUAAUUAAAUCAAAUAUCACUUACUUGACGACAUGUAAUUUCAGCAUAUUUAUCUUGUAGUCGAAAAUGAGCGUCCUGCCAAUCUUUAACGCACAUUAACGCUUCUAAAAUAUCUUCUUUCAGUUGGCUCCUGACCUAGCUCAAAAUGCUUUUACCUGCACUAAAAGCAGACUCCGAAACAAUAGUGCUAACCAGAGAUGUCAGCAGAUUUUUUGCAAUCGCAGAUAUAACUGGCCAACGUCGUUCAUACCUUCACCAGAAUUCAAUUACUUCGUCUGAACUUUUUUUAAUUAUUUUAUCUGUUGGCAUAUUUUGGUUGAAAUAAUCAAUUAAUUCAGCAGGUAAUGCAUUAUGGCUUGAGCCCGUAGAUGUUUGAUGAGAAUGAGAUACAGAUGGUGACGACAUGGCAGUGGCAAUGGUAGUAGAUGAACACAUUGCAGAUGAAUCAAAUCUAUACGAAUUAAUGCCUUGAAAUAAAUUAAAUAUUUCCACACCUUCUUCUUCAAUUUCAGCGGAAGGAGUAGGUGUAGAUGGUACCUGACUAAUAUUGGUACCCAUUCGGUUCGCAUAUAAUUCAUACAUUUCACAUAACGUUUGCUCUAAAUUUCUAUAUGUGAUAGGUGUAUCAAAUGUUAAGGCAUUUGAAAUUUGAUUAAUUAUAUAUUUAGUUCUCGAUAAAUUAUAUCGGGGGUUCAUCACGCAUGCUAAAAGAAAUCAUAUAGGCAAAUCUUCCCAAUAUUUUUUAAAUUUUAAUUUCAUGGCAAUUCUAAUUUCACUAAAAUCAGGGUCAUUUCUGUAUUUAUGAAAUAUUCUUGCAAUUUUAUAAAGAUGUUCAAGCACCAUACAGCUGGUGGGGUAGUAAACGCCCGAUAAGAUCUUAGUGGUUUCAUAAAAAGAUGUCAAAAUUUUUUUAACUUUUAAAACUAAAUGCCAAUCACGUUCGGUCAACAUACCCUCGGCAUCACUUCUAACAUAUCUAUUGUUAUAAAAGUCAAUUAUUAAAUGUUCAAAACCUUCAUAUGACUUUAAUAACAAGUAAGUAGAGUUCCACCUAUGACCUACGUCGCUAACAAAUGUUUUAGCAUUUUGCACUUCUAUUUCGGCACAAUAAUCCUCAAAUGUUUGUUUUCUACUUGGGGAGAUUGUGAUAUAUAUUAGUGCGUUCCUAAUAUUUUGAAGUUCAUCCUUUAUAUGUUUUAAAACAUUUUGGACAAUUAAAUUCAAAAUAUGACAUACACAAUGAAUAUGAAACAAAUACCCACCAAAAUUAGGUUGUAGUACCCUAUGCAAUUUUUCGGCAACUACUUUAUUAACACUAGCAUUAUCGAAAGUAAAUGAACGAAUUUUACCUUCGCAAUGAUAUUCUCAAACAAUACUAAUAAUAUCAUUAAAUAUAUUAUUAGCGUUGUGAGGAAACUCAAUAAUUCUAAAAGCAAUAAUUUUUUUAUGCAUGCACCAAAGUGGGUCUAUAUAAUGUGCAGUUGCAGCUAUAUAUACUCUUUUAUUAAUCCCUUCCCAUAUAUCCAAAGUUAAAGAUAUGACACCCCCAUAUUUUUACAAAUCCAUAAUUAAUUGUUGCUUUGUUGAAGUAAAAUAUUGUAUCGAAAAAAAGAGUGUUUCGACUUACCUCAACGUACCUUGACUGCAGAUAUUCUUUCACAUACGAGACGUAGUGUUGGUUGUCAAUUAAUGUCAAAGGCAACUCAGCACCAACAACAAGUUUCACCAUUUCGAUUCGAGCUUUCUCCUCCGAAUACACCCAUGUGGAUAGGGGUACAGCAGAACCACCAACGUCUGGACUGCCAAAUUGCAAUUGUGUUUAACAGCCUGGAAUAAGUCUGUGUCUGGCUGCACAUACUUUGUAAUGACGGUUGAGAUGAGUGGUACCAAUUCCUCUAUGCCAUGCCAAUCUUUGUUAGCAGUAUUUACAUACUGCUUUAGAUUUUUAGACUCCAUUGACGAUUUUUUCCGUUGAAAUCAACUUAAAGUAAUCCCAACAUUUUGCUUGUUUUUUCUCCUUUCGCUUUCCCCUUGCAUCAAGAAUGUUUAAUUCAGCCUCUUCUUCCUAAUCGUGUUCCGCUUCGGGAAUGUCAACAUCAUCCAAAUUAAUUGGAUUACCGCUUACAUGAUGAUGAAGAUCCAAAUUUGGAAUAUCUUCAGGUAGGGGUACGUCAUUUAGACCUUCAAAUUGAUUCUGAAAUUGACUUUGUGGUGUCAUAUGCGAUUCGUUUCCUCCUACACCGAAUAAGUUUUCGACAAAUGUGCGUGAAUCCAUUUAUUUAAUUAUAAUAAGUAAUAACUAGUUGAAGAAAAAUUGUAUGAAUGUAGUGAGAAAUGAAAAUUGGAUGAAAUUUCAAUAAAUAUAGUGAGAACUGAGAAAUGAGAAUUGGAUAUUGUAUAAAUUGUAUAUAAAAAUUGCAUAACUAUCAACACAAUACAAGAGAGUUGAGAGAAAGAUAAUUGAGAGUUGAGAGUGAAUUGGAGAAAAUUUUGUGGCUAAAUGCCACUAUUUAUAGAAGAAGAAAAGAAAAAAAUUAAAAAAAUUUAAGGACCAAAACGGUCACUGAAAAAAUUCAGUGACCGUUAACGGAAAAAAAAAUUAAUUUAGGGACUGAAACAGUCACUGACAAAAGUCAGUGACCGUUACAUAAAGUGACCGUUUCAGUCACUUUUAAAAACGAGCUCACCAGCCGCUUGCGGGCUCGUCGUGAGCGGCUUCGUUUUUUGUGCGAGUCGAGCGGGCUUGGCUCACCCACCGAACCGGCCCGCUCGGCUCACGCUCGGGCUCGUGUAUUUACGAGCUCAAGCUGCCCAUGAGCUCCGUUUUCACGAGCCGACGAGUCGCUCGGCCCAUUUGCCACCCCUAAUUAUGGGUCCCACACAAGAGAUGAAAAUUCAAAUUUGAAUACUUGAUAUGAUGGAUAGUGGCCAUAUUUUUCAUUUUAAUGGGGAAAGAAUGAAAAACAAACAUGAGCUAUAUUUUCCCUUUUAUCACCCUAAAUUUAUGUAUUUAAAUUUGAGAAAAUUAGAGAAACUACUAAACAACGGCCUGAUAAAGGCAAUAAAGAUCGUGCUGUGCCCAUUGAGACGAGAGAAAUUUCUGUAGGACGGUCGCACCACGUAACAGUGUAAACGUCUUAUCAAGGUGUGCCACCUCAACGGUUGACCCACACACCUCACGCGAUGCGACUGCCCUAUUAAGGUGCGCUACCUAGGCUAGUGGGCCACCACACACCCCCGAGGUGUGUGAUCUCCUGCUAAGGUGGCACCUCAUUGUGGAUGGUACAAUCGUCUCACUGAAGUUUCUCUCCAUUGAUAUAGUUGUGUGAGUCAGACAUUCGUUUAGACGGGUCAAGUUUUUCGCAUAUAAAUUUGUGCUAUUAAAAAUAAGAUUUUAAUCCAAAGCAAAAUUAACAAUUAAUUUUAACAAUGAAUUCACAACUUUUUAACGAUACAUUUUAUCAACUUCUAUCAAAAUUUAGUAAAACUCUAAUUUUAACCCCCAUCAAACAGGAGUUUUACUUUAACUUUGAGGUGAUUUUGGCCUUAAAUCACUUCUAAAUAAUAUAUAUGGGGCCGGUUUGACAUGAUUUUUACUUUAACUUUUAUUGCUUCUAAAAGAGCUUAUUAGAAAAGCUACUUUAAUUUUUGUUUGAAAAGUAUUAUGUAAAAUGAUUCCCUAUUUCUAAAAAUGAGUCAAACUGAACUUGCUUUCUCGAAAAACUCUUUUAAUUAUAAAAAUCACUUUUAUAAAAAUAGUCAACUAAGUCCAAAAAUAACUUUUAGGUCAUGUUUGAGCCACAUUUAAAAAAAAAUACAUUCUUAAACAGUGAUUUGACAUUAUUUCAAUCACACAUUCUUUAAUAAAAUAAUAUUAAAUACAAAUUCAAAACUUUUCUUUAUUUUUUAAUCGCACAUUUCCUAUCAAUACAUAAUUAAAAAAUGCAUUCUAAAAAAAAAUAAUGUGACUGAAAGAAGGGCUUAGAUUUCAAAACUUUCUUUUUAAAUUUUUAAAAGUUAUGUGGGUCCAUUGGAGUUGCAGUGACGAAAGUUAUUACUUUAAAAUUAUCUUUUUGGGAAAUUUCAUGGGCCAUCCAUGUUUCUCCAAAGUUAUGAGGACCUGAUUAGAAUAAAGUAAAGUAAAAAAAAAAGGUUUACUUCAGCUCCUAAAAAAAACAAAAACAAAAACAAAAAAAAAUGGUAUUCCUUCUCUAAACCGGUAAUCGGAUGAUUCUGAUUCAUUUCUUGUUUUUCAAUUUAAAACAUACAAUUUCAAACAUAUGUAAUUUUAUCAGGUCAAUAACUCCUUUUUUUUUAUCGAUAAAUAUAAACUUUAUAGAUCAAUAAUUCCUACAUAAAUGAAAUUGUUAAUUUUCGUCUAAGGGAUUUAGGAGUUGUUUGACAAAACUUUUAUAACAAAUUUGAGAGAUUUUGAUAAAAAUUGUAGAGAUUUUGAUAAAAAUUUGAGAGAUUUUGAUAAAACUUUCGUUUAAGCACUAUUCUAUGCUUUUAAAAACAUUAUUAAAUAGUAUUAAUAAUAUAAUAAUCAUUUACUUAACUAACUACAUUAACAAACUGUCAAGUGGCUCAAAAUAUCCUAAACACUUUUCUCAGAGUUCAAUCCAAACUUUCAUUCUGUGGUACCUAAAAACUAAGAUAUUAUCACAAUCAUGAUGUUGCUGCAUUAGCAUUUAGAGGUCAGUUGGCAUGCCUGAAUUUCGCCGAUUCUGUCUGGUGCUUGCCGGUGCCGAUUUCUGAAGAUGCUAAGGAUAUUCAGAAGGCGGCAAUAGAGGCGCCAGAACUGUUCAGGCCGUUCGAGGGGGGUGGUGGUGGUGGGACAAUAAUGCAAGAAAAUGAGAUGAAUUCUGAGAGGGUUUCAAGUGGCAAUUUGACAACAUUGGACACAACAAAAACACUAUCAGAUUGUGAUAUUUUUAAUAUGAUUGAGGAUUCAGAGACAAAUAUGGAAGGAGUUUUGCUAUCACCACAACCUCGUUUAGACUACAGUUUCGGUUGGGAUGAUUUGGAAAACGAUGAUGCUGAGAUGGUGCUUUGGAGCUACUCUAUUUGAUGUCAUAGUAGUUUUGGAUAGUAAAGUGCGUGAAACACAAAAAUAAAGAAGCAAGAUAUAGUAUAUGUGUGUAUUCCAGUUUGAUUGAAUAGAGCGUAGGUGAGUCAAGUUGAUCUGGUAUUUGCUUUUGAAGUCCAAUCACCCAGACAGCUUACUAUAAGACAAAAAGUAAGAGGAAAAAAUAUCAAGCUGGUAACAGUGCAAGAACUUUGGAUAGAAUGCUUUGACUGUAUUGAUUUUCUUGUAUUUUCCUUUGUACAGUUACAAUAUAUAUGAAGAAUGGAAAAGAAUAUUGGCUUAAAAACCGACUUAAGAGUGGUCCAC
rnacentral:lncRNA from 1 species